AACGUAGGACGCAAGCGUUAUCCGGAGUUACUGGGCGUAAAGCGCGGGCAGGCGGCCUCGCAAGUCUGAUGUGAAAGCACUCUGCUCAACAGAGUGAUGCCAUUGGAAACUACGAGGCUGGAGUCUGGCAGAGGUAGGCGGAAUUCCGGGUGGAGUAGUGAAAUGCGUAGAGAUCCGGGGGAACACCAGGGGCGAAGGCGGCCUACUGGGCCAGUACUGACGCUGAGCCGCGAAAGCUAGGGGAGCGAACGGG
rnacentral:rRNA from 1 species